UACAGAGGGGGCAAGCGUUGUUCGGAAUUACUGGGCGUAAAGGGCGCGUAGGCGGCCUGCUAAGUCGAACGUGAAAUCCCUCGGCCUAACCGAGGAACUGCCUUUGAUACUGCUUGGCUUGAGGCCGGGAGAGGGUAGCGGAAUUCCCAGUGUAGCGGUGAAAUGCGUAGAUAUUGGGAGGAACACCAGUGGCGAAGGCGGCUACCUGGACCGGUUCUGACGCUGAGGCGCGAAAGCGUGGGGAGCAAACAGG
rnacentral:rRNA from 1 species